CGCCGCGUGUGGGAUGACGGCCUUCGGGUUGUAAACCACUGUCGGGAGGGACGAAGAUCUGACGGUACCUCCAAAGGAAGCACCGGCUAACUCUGUGC
rnacentral:rRNA from 1 species